GCGGGGGUGCCCGAGCAAGGCCAAAGGGGCGGGGCUUAGGACCCCGUGGUGUAGGCCUACGCGGGUUCAAGUCCCGCCCCCCGCA
rnacentral:tRNA from 1 species